CAGUGGAGCCUGUGGAUGACGAUGGUGAUGAUCCUGAGCCAGGACAGCAUGAUAGAGGCGAGCCAAUGACAGAUGUGAGCACUGGUGAAGGCCUGGCCUGUCCCGAUGCCACUGACAAAUGAGUCGGAGAUCCUCCCUCCUAUCUUCGCCACCAAUGCUACUACCGGCGUGCCUUGGGUGACAGGCCGCCAACAACGACAUCAACGAGAAAUGAUUGUACAAGCUAUGAUGGCCCUCAAGGCUGGUACCUCCCCCCAAAUAUGGCUCAGCAUGCUGGACCGGUAGUCAAAGACGGGUAAGACUGGUCCCACAUCCAUAGCAACCUAAGACAGGGGCUCCUCGACCGGGGGGGGGAACUCGAUAACGGGUAAGCAUAGUAGGUGAGGAUCGGCAACC